rnacentral:piRNA from 1 species
UUCACUUCAUAGACUUCCCUAUGAUCGUG